GUCCAAAUGAGGUUUAGGUGAAACUCCUUGAGCCCACUCGUGACAACCUACUAAAUGAAUUAGGUUGUUUUAGAAAGGCGAAUGAAGCUUCUUUAAAAACAUAUGAUUGAGGAUUAUUUAAAUUUUUCAUCUAUGUUGACCUGUGGAUUAAUAGGAGAUAUGAAUGUUCGAAUGAGUUUUAAGCGACACUAAAAUAUUAUUCUAAAAGAAGCUGAAAUUUCCCAGUACAAUAUGCACUGAACUUCAUCACUAUAUAACAAUGUUGUAAGUCACAUUUAAACUCUUUUGUACAAGAACUCUAGUGAAAUCUUUCAUGUUUGAAUUAUUGCCCAUGAUGAAAACCUCAACCUACAAUACCAGAGAAUCCAAAUAUAUCCUAAACCACUUGAGCAGCCAGCAGCAUAUACAAAAGCUAUUGUCCUGAAUGUGUUUGAUCCAAUCUGCAGUGACAACAUCAACAAUGAGUCAAUUUACAUUCAACUAUCAUCAACCUAAGUAAGGCAGAAAAUUUUAUAUAUUAUUUCUAAAAUAAACAUCAAUUAGCCCCAUGGUAGAAAAGCCACACCUACUUCAUCCUACAACGACAGGAGAAACGAUGAAGAUAGAAGACCAUAAUUCCUAUUGUACUAUUUCCAAGAAAAAACAUUCGCAUACAAGCA
rnacentral:lncRNA from 1 species